UGGGGAAUUUUGGACAAUGGGGGAAACCCUGAUCCAGCCAUCCCGCGUGUGCGAUGAAGGCCUUCGGGUUGUAAAGCACUUUUGGCAGGAAAGAAACGUCAUGGGUUAAUACCCCGUGAAACUGACGGUACCUGCAGAAUAAGCACCGGCUAACUACGUGCCAGCAGCCGCGGUAAUACUAAGGGUGCAAGCGUUAAUCGGAAUUACUGUGAGUAAGGCGUGCGCCGGCGGUUCGGAAAGAAAGAGGUGAAAUCCCAGAGCUCACCUUUGGAACUGAAUUUUUACCUACCGGGAUAGAGUGUGUAAGAGGGAGGUGGAAUUCCGCUUGUAGCAGUGAAAUGCGAAGAAAUGCGGAGGAACACCGAUGGCGAAGGCAGCCUCCUGGGAUAACACUGACGCUCAUGCACGAAAGCGUGGGGAGCAAACAGG
rnacentral:rRNA from 1 species